ACACAACAAAGGCCAGACAUGAGGUCUUGACCCGUCACUGAACUUCACAUUUCUGCCUGGAGCCAUCAAAACUGUGCAUGUCUUUAUCUUUUCCUCUCUAAUUACCCCACCUCCCCCUCACCCCUCACCCUCCUCCACCGCCUGUGGUCUCUUGGUGUUUGUUGUUCGUUUCCUGUCACAGAGGAAGUGCCUCACCCUGCUGCCUGGCUCCUUAUUGGCUCUGGCUUUGAUCAACACUGAUUAUUAGACGGCGGGAUCGGCACAUGGACCGGCAGACGAGGACAAGACACAGGGACAGACGCAAGAGAGUCGGAGACAAAGAAGGAUCUGAGACCCAAUCUUUGAGGCUCUGAGCUGCAGGAGACUGACGUGAGUAAAACCAACCUGCUGUGACAGGAAAUCUGUUCUUGGUGCAUGUCUUGUCAACAUGGAGUCUGCGACAUCACUGCUACACUUCACUCUGAUUGGCCACUAAA